AUGAAGCUUCAACGUCAAGUUUGUAUCUAGCGGUGAGGUCUAAGGAUAAGUGGAUCUUUGUCCCUUCCAGGACAGGGUGUGUGGAAGAGAAAAGGCUAUGUUGCCCUGUUGGGUCCUUCUCCCUCACCUGCCUGCCCCUCAGGUUCAAGUCCACCCACCAAGGAAAGGCGGAGGAGACAUCCUGGGACAUAAGGAGCCUCAAAGCUGCGCUCAUAAAGCGGAAAGCAAUGGAAAGGCAUGGAACGUGGGACGGAAUGCCCCUCAAAGCAGUCAAGCAGGCGUUAAAGAGAGUCUCUUCCCGAAGCGGUUCUGGAGAGCAAGUUUCCUUAAGGACAAAGUUGACCACGAAACUGCUGACUGCUCUGGGCUGCAGGGCACUCAAUCGGGGAUGUUGAGAAGCUGGCGGUCUCUGCUCCUCUGGAGAAGAAUCAAAGACCUUCCCCGGGAACAUCGCAGCCUAC